GAAUUCAACUCCUACGGGAGGCAGCAGUGGGGAAUUUUGGACAAUGGGCGCAAGCCUGAUCCAGCAAUGCCGCGUGAGUGAAGAAGGCCUUCGGGUUGUAAAGCUCUUUUGUCAGGGAAGAAACGGGAUUGGAUAAUACCUAGUCCUAAUGACGGUACCUGAAGUAUAAGCACCGGCUAACUACGUGCCAGCAGCCGCGGUAAUACGUAGGGUGCAAGCGUUAAUCGGAAUUACUGGGCGUAAAGCGUGCGCAGGCGGUUUUGUAAGUCUGACGUGAAAGCCCCGGGCUCAACCUGGGAAUUGCAUUUGAGACUGCACGGCUAGAGUGUGUCAGAGGGGGGUAGAAUUCCACGUGUAGCAGUGAAAUGCGUAGAUAUGUGGAGGAAUACCGUUGGCGAAGGCAGCCCCCUGGGAUAACACUGACGCUCAUGCACGAAAGCGUGGGGAGCAAACAGGAUUAGAAACCCGUGUAGUCCAGGCGUU
rnacentral:rRNA from 1 species